rnacentral:rRNA from 1 species
AGCGGUAACAGGUGUAGCAAUACAUGCUGACGAGCGGCGGACGGGUGAGUAACGCUUGGGAAUCUGCCUGUUUGUGGGGGACAACCCGGGGAAACUCGGGCUAAUACCGCAUACGCACUACGGUGGAAAGCCGGGGACCGCAAGGCCUGGCGCUUACAGAUGAGCCCAAGUCGGAUUAGCUAGUUGGUAGGGUAACGGCCUACCAAGGCGACGAUCCGUAACUGGUCUGAGAGGACGACCAGUCACACCGGAACUGAGACACGGUCCGGACUCCCACGGGAGGCAGCAGUGGGGAAUAUUGGACAAUGGGCGAAAGCCUGAUCCAGCGACGCCGCGUGGGUGAAGAAGGCCUGCGGGUUGUAAAGCCCUUUCGGUGGGGAAGAAAAGCCUCGAGUUAACACCUCGGGGUCUUGACGUAACCCAUAGAAGAAGCACCGGCUAACUCUGUGCCAGCAGCCGCGGUAAUACAGAGGGUGCGAGCGUUA